rnacentral:snRNA from 1 species
AAACUUUGUUUUCCUUCAGAGCAUAUAAAUCUUUUGCUUUUUCUUAAAGAUUUCUGUGGAGAAAAACAACUUUGAGUUUUAAACAAAAUUUUUGAGGCCUUGUUUCAGCAAGGCU